CCCAAAUGAAAUUGGACGAAACAAAAGCAUCAUUGAAAAUAAGUCACUUUUCUGUCUCUCCACAGGAGGGUAGUAUUUCAAAAGGCAAAAUCCUUCCCAAAAUCAAAGCAGAGUUUGAGAUUGGAGGGAGGGGAAGGGAGGGUAGAGGGUGAAUGAUUCAACUAGCUGCCACACAGGGGCAGCCUUUUCACUGUGAUUAAAGUGGGCGGCAAGUGUUACUCUAGCCCCAAAAAGCCUCUUUCAGGAGGGAAUCUUUCAAGGGCAACUAAAGCGAGUGACUGUGGUCACCAUAUGAUAAGAAGAAAAGAUGCUUCUAAAAUUCUCGGCGUGGGUCCUUUGGAUUCAACUGGCAUGGGAGAGCACCCAGCAGCUGGAGCAGCAUCCUCCAUUUCUAAGCAUCCAGGAGGGGGAGAAUUCCACCAUGUACUGCAACUCCUCAAGCAUCUUCACCAACUUUCAAUGGUAUAGGCAGAAGCCUGGGGAAGGGCCUGUCUUCCUGAUGAUGUUAACUAAGGCUGGAGAUAGGAAGGAGCAGGAGAGACUGAAGGGUCAAUUUGGUGAGGAAAGAAAGGACAGCUUUCUGCUCAUCACUGCAGCCCAGCCUGGGGAUGCAGGCACCUACCUCUGCGCAGGGGCACAGUGCCCUUGGCACACCUGCUGCCUGCACCCAAACCCUGCUGCAGGUCCCCAGUCACACAACUGCUUCAUUGCUCCAGGUUCACCUCACAAAUCUCUUGGCAUGCAGAAGAAUCACUUCUGCUGCCUUUCCAGAACAUUCUCAGCCUACACUGGAGGGCAGGAUUUAUCUGCUAUAAGGCAAACUUCUGUAAAUGUAUUUCACUAUUUGAACUAGUGAAAAUAUGGGUUCACAGCUCCCCCAAGAUAGGCAGUGGAGAAAGAAGAGAAUCAAUACGGAGGAUCCCAGAGUGCAUCCCAAAGGCCACAGCCAGGAAUGGUUAGUACAAGGGGAUAGAAAUGAAUGAUUUCACAGCUUUAUUGUAGUACCCUUGGGUUGAUGAAAGUGCAGUACCUCCAGUCUAUUAAACUGGAGUAAAGGGCAGAAGUCUAGUAGAAAAUAAUUUGAAGAAAGUUCCUACUGUUUUUGAUAGAAAGAUGCCCAAGGUGUAUUCCAGUGACAUCCAGCUGUGAUUCCAAAGCAACAUCAUCAGGCAUUCACAUCGUGGCUCAGCAGUUAACAAACCCGACGAGAACCCAUGAGGGCUCUGGUUCGAUCCCUGGCCUUGCUCAGUGGGUUAGGGGUCCGGCAUUGCUGUGAGCCGUGGUGUAGGUUGCAGACACAGCUCAGAUCCCACAUUGCUCUCACAUGGACCUCUGGCAUGUGAACCUCCAUAGGCCGCAAGUGCGGCCCUAAAAAGAAAAACCACACACACAUACACACACACACACACACACAAAAGCAACAUUGCCAGGAGGUGGUUCUGAAACCACUUAAACUUUCAUUAACUACAACAGCCUGUAUUUGCACAGGGUUUUCUUGGGGAUUAGACUUUGAAUGACACAAAUAGCCUCAAGUUUUCAAGGCUGAAAAAGCUAGAAGUUAACCAUUUCCUCCACCUGACAAGCCCUCCAUUAGCCCAUUUUUCUAUUUGAAGCAUUCCUGUUUGUUCUCUAAAGCAAGAUGUUAGAACACAACACAUGCAUUUUGACGUCAUAAGAACCCAGGUUUGAACUUGGUCUUUAAAUCCUGUCUUUGCAAUUUUCUAGCUCUGGAUCCUCGGGCAAUUAUUCAUCUUCAUCUAAGCUUCCUGAUAAAUACAAAUUAGUAAGAAUACCUGCCUUGCUGAGUUGCUACAAAUUAAAUGAGAGGGAAAUUUUUAAAUUAUAUGAAAUCUCAGGUACAACCUAUAUACUUAACAAACACCCCUGUAAAUAAUAUUAUUACUGCCUCUAAAUACAUGUUAUCCCUCCUGUGAAAUUUUCACUGACUCCUCAAGGAGGAAUGAGCUAAUCUCUGCCAAGUAUUCGGAAUACUCACCUUAGUAGUCAGGGAGACAGACCCUGUGAGUUGCCUGCCUAAUCACUACUUUCUUCUGCUUCCUUUUUAACAGGACUCUCAAUUUUGAUUUGGACAACUACAUCCCCAGCUUUAGAAAAAUAAUUACAUUUCACAUCCUUUCUUAUAAUCAGGGGUUAUAUAUUGCACAGUUCUGACCAAUGAGACAUCAUCAGAAGCCUGCUAGAGAUUCCCUGUAAUGUGUUUGCUCUCCUGGUACAGGUACCACAUCUUCCUGUCCCUCUUUCAAUGUUUUUCUUCCUGAAACAUGGAAGCGAUAACUUUACCAUAAAGGGAACCAUAGGCAUAACCUCCCUCGCCAGUCCCAUGCCUGAUCACCCUUUAAAUGCCAAGUCAAAUCCUUUGCCCAGAUUUAUUUUUACGUGAAAAAUUUUAACAAAUUAUUCUGUGGUUGAGUUUUUUGUUACUUGCACCUAAAUGCAAUCCUAACUAUAGUAGGAUUGAUAUAAAAGGGCUUUGUCAUUUUGUUUCCAUGUGUAGGUGCAAAAAGAAAGUACAAAAUGAAUAAGUACUGUGUUUUUACAGAGGGGACCUGCAUUUAUAUUGAUCAUGUGUAUCUUCUUAAAGUAUUGAUGUUCCUAUAAUUUUUUAUUAAGAAAAAAUUAUCUUUCGCUUAGGGAACUCAUGUUAAAAUUUCUAUCAAUCCCUUACACUCAUGGGAGAAAAUUCAGUUUUUCAUCAUAAGUCAUAGAUGAUAUCAAUCUCCACACAAAUGGUUAAUACCUGUAGUCUUACUUUUUCUCAUUCUUAAAGUCCAAAGGUUAUUUUUCUUGUUUUAUAACUUCAUGUUACCCCAGUAACCUACUGAAAAGGCCUUUGUUUUGAAAGUGGUAAGGGCAAAUAUAAAUUAAAAAUUAGAAAAAUACAUUUUAAUUUUAGUUGUUAUAAAAUAAGAAAAAAUAAAAUGAGAAAGAUCUUUCUCCCUCCUGUUUUGAGUAUUUACUUUAGAAAACUUAUGAGUUAUUUCUCCAUCUCAUUGAGAUGUAUGUAAAUCUUUUAAGAAGCUAAAGCCUCUUGCCAGUUUCACAAUCCAGGA